GACUCAUUCGUACACGUAAAUCGCCUUAAAUUACCAAGUAGAGAAAGUCCACCAUGAGGUGAGCACGAAGUUUUGAAGACAGGAGUGAUUGUAUUAGAUUUCCUCCUGAGCAGUUGCACUACAAAUUUAGUGAUGAAGAGGCAAUACUUGACAGAAACCUUAAGUGGGAUGACAUAAUUAUAAAGAAAAUCAAUAAGAGGAUGAACUCUUUUAAUGUUUAUAAAACAAUAGUAUGGAAGAAUUUUGAUGCAUCUUGGAGCAAUGGCAACAUAUUUGGGAGUUGUGAGUGACAACGAGCAGAUUACAUAACAAUGGGAGGAUAACAAGGGCCUUAACUGAAAAAACUGGUGAAUGUUCCCAAAUAAACCUCACAGAUGUAGAAGAAAGACAAAAUAAAUUUGUUUAUUUAUUUUAUUUCUGUUCCCUACUAAACUAGUAAUAAAACAUACUUGUUACAAAUA